rnacentral:lncRNA from 1 species
UAUCACUUAAUUAUAUUGUCUCUUUCUUUUAAAUUUAGAUGUAUUACAACUUUACUACAUGAAGACUCUCUUACCCAGUGGAAGGUCCUUGCUUAGCAUCUGGAUGACCAUCUUAAGCAACAGCUUCCAUCUUAAGAAAAAGCUGACGCCCAAUGUAGUGUCUGAACAUCUGAAACAGGGACCCUUCUGGAUGUAUUAAUGGAGAAGGGAGUAGCUUAUCACCUGGAGCAGGCUGAUGCGUGACUUUCAUCAGCUGGUACUGAUCCCCAUUGGUGUGCAGCCUCAUCGGUCCUGCAUCAUUUGGCAAUCCACAUGGGAUGGAAAUGGUGAAGUUGCCUCUCUUGUCUCUGGAAUCUGGGGUGUUGGAGGACAUUGCUUCCCCUUAGCACACCACAGAGGCAACUCUGACUGA